GUUGGGUAUGGUAGUGCAUGCCUAUAAUCCCAAUGACUUGGGAGGCUGAGGCAGGAGGAUCACAAGUUUAAAUAGUUCAGGAAUUUAAUGAGGUCCUAAGCAACUUAGUGAAAGCCUGUCUCAA
rnacentral:sRNA from 1 species